UACGUAGGGUGCGAGCGUUAAUCGGAAUUACUGGGCGUAAAGCGUGCGCAGGCGGUUGCUAAGACCGAUGUGAAAUCCCCGGGCUUAACCUGGGAACUGCAUUGGUGACUGGCAGGCUUUGAGUGUGGCAGAGGGAGGUAGAAUUCCACGUGUAGCAGUGAAAUGCGUAGAGAUGUGGAGGAAUACCGAUGGCGAAGGCAGCCUCCUGGGCCAACACUGACGCUCAUGCACGAAAGCGUGGGGAGCAAACAGG
rnacentral:rRNA from 1 species